CAGGGAUUGCCCUAGUAACGGCGAGUGAAGCGGCAACAGCUCAAAUUUGAAAUCUGGCUACAUUCCGUGGUCCGAGUUGUAAUUUGUAGAGGAUGCUUUUGGUGAGGUGCCUUCCGAGUUCCCUGGAACGGGACGCCAUAGAGGGUGAGAGCCCCGUACGGUUGGACACCAAGCCUCUGUAUAGCUCCUUCAACGAGUCGAGUAGUUUGGGAAUGCUGCUCUAAAUGGGAGGUAUAUCUCUUCUAAAGCUAAAUAUAGGCUAGAGACCGAUAGCGCACAAGUAGAGUGAUCGAAAGAUGAAAAGCACUUUGAAAAGAGAGUUAAACAGCACGUGAAAUUGUUGAAAGGGAAGCGCCUAUGACCAGACUUGUUUCUGGCAGUUUCGUUAGCCCUCGGGCUGAUUUACUCUGUCCAGUACAGGCCAGCAUCAGUUUGCUGUCGGGGAGAAAGGCUCUGGGAACGUAGCUCCCUCCUUCGGGGGGGAGUGUUAUAGCCCUCUGCACAAUACCCUUCGGCAGACUGAGGACCGCGCUUCGGCAAGGAUGCUGGCGUAAUGGUCAUCAGCGACCCGUCUUGAAACACGGACCAAGGAGUCAACCUUAUGUGCGAGUGUUUGGGUGUAAAACCCCAGCGCGUAAUGAAAGUGAACGUAGGUGAGAGCUUCGGCGCAUCAUCGACCGAUUCUGAUGUUUUCGGAUGGAUUUGAGUAAGAGCACACAGGGUUGGACCCGAAAGAAGGUGAACUAUGCUUGUAUAGGGUGAAGCCAGAGGAAACUCUGGUGGAGGCUCGCAGCGGUUCUGACGUGCAAAUCGAUCGUCAAAUAUGAGCAUGGGGGCGAAAGACUAAUCGAACCUUCUAGUAGCUGGUUCCAGCCGAAGUUUCCCUCAGGAUAGCAGUGUUGAAUUUUCUUCAGUUUUAUGAGGUAAAGCGAAUGAUUAGGGACUCGGGGGCGCUAUAUUGCCUUCAUCCAUUCUCAAACUUUAAAUAUGUAAGAAGCCCUUGUUACUUAAUUGAACGUGGGCAUUCGAAUGUAUCAACACUAGUGGGCCAUUUUUGGUAAGCAGAACUGGCGAUGCGGGAUGAACCGAUCGCGUGGAUAAGGCGCCAGAGUGAACGCUCAUCAGACACCACAAAAGGUGUUAGUACAUCUUGACAGCAGGACGGUGGCCAUGGAAGUCGGAAUCCGCUAAGGACUGUGUAACAACUCACCUGCCGAAUGUACUAGCCCUGAAAAUGGAUGGCGCUCAAGCGUUCCGCCCAUACCACGCCCUCAGGGUAGGAUCUAUGCCCUGAGGAGUAGGCUGGCGUGGAGGUCGUGACGAAGCCUAG
rnacentral:rRNA from 1 species